rnacentral:misc_RNA from 1 species
AACGCACCUUGCGCUCCUUGGUAUUCCGAGGAGCAUGCCUGUUUGAGUAUCAUGAAAUCAUCAACCCCCGCCUUCUUUGUUGAAGGUCGGAGGCUUGGAGUUGGGGGGUUCACUGCCGGUCGCGUCAAGCGGUCGGCUCCCCUUGAAUGCAUUAGCUGGGCGCCACGGUACGGCGGUUCACGGUGUGAUAGAUUAUCUACACCCACGGGACCUCGAACCGGUCGAGCUUCUAACCGUCCCCUCGUCGGGACAACCCCUUUGAAAUCCGAUCUCAAAUCAGGUAGGACUACCCGCUGAACUUAA